UCUCAUCCUCCUCCUUCAUCUCCAGUCUCCUCUACCAAAAAAAUUAAAACCCAAAAUGAAAGGGAAAAGAAGAAGGCAUAAUAAGUUGGACACCAUGCUCCAAAUAUAAACCUGUGUUGGACUGGAAAGAAAAGGAUUUAUAUAGUGAUACAUUAGUCGCCCUACAAUUUUAAAUUCACUUUUUUGUCUGAUGGCAAGGAGUGGGACGAUACAUGGGAGCCAGCCCAACAGUACAGCUGCUAUAAAUAAAUAACUGAACUGAACUAAACAGGAAAGUAUAAAAUAAAAUAAUAAUGGCAGUUUGUUAUUUACAAAUGCUAAGAUUAUUUUAUUUAUUUGUGUUUUGUGUUAUUUUGAAACAUAGGCCUCCUCUUGGGAACCCGUUAUAAUUGGGCAUCACGCAAAUUUUAGUACACACACAGACACAAGGUUGCCUGCAGG